rnacentral:rRNA from 1 species
AUUGAACGCUGGCGGCAUGCCUUACACAUGCAAGUCGAACGGCAGCGGACCUUCGGGUGCCGGCGAGUGGCGAACGGGUGAGUAAUAUAUCGGAACGUACCUUUCAGUGGGGGAUAACGUAGCGAAAGUUACGCUAAUACCGCAUAUUCUGUGAGCAGGAAAGCAGGGGAUCGCAAGACCUUGCGCUGAUUGAGCGGCCGACAUCAGAUUAGCUAGUUGGUGAGGUAAAGGCUCACCAAGGCGACGAUCUGUAGCGGGUCUGAGAGGAUGAUCCGCCACACUGGAACUGAGACACGGUCCAGACUCCUACGGGAGGCAGCAGUGGGGAAUUUUGGACAAUGGGCGCAAGCCUGAUCCAGCCAUGCCGCGUGAGUGAAGAAGGCCUGGUU